CUCUAGAUGGCAUGCUGAUGGAUCUGACAUGGUAAGGCUGAUUAGGUGUUGCAGGACAACCAGCCAUAUCCACCAGUAUGUUGUUGGAAGGCCUUUGGAAUGGAUUGCCAAAUGAAGAGUAGAGCAAAAACGAUGGGAAGAUGUGAACAAGCCUGGAACUUCCCCUAAUUAUAGUCCCUAUUUCAUAAAGCAGAUGGGAGGAAAGUCGAAUCUAACCAGCCGAGCUCAAUAUGAUAUGCCAAUCUUGCAAUUUAGAUCUUGUAGCCUCAUCUCUGAUCAGGAUACAUACUUGAAAGAAGCAUGAUAUGUCCCUUUUCCAUCCCUCUACUUCCUGUCGCGUGCCACAUAACCUCUUUUUCCGUGCAUUGAAGAGAAACGACCACCUGCAAGUCUUCAUUCUCCCUGUCUGCAUUGUCAAGAAAGAUGACACCAGAUGAAGCAGAGGUAGUUGUGAUUGGAUUGAGAUCCCCAGAGAUUCUACCCACAAUAGGCUGUCUUUCGAAUUACCACAUAAAUCCGGCAUCGACUAAUCUUCCAGCCAUUUCCACUGCAUGUAAAAGUGAAGGCUUGGUUGCAUGGCGACUGAACAAGCCCCUCAUUGAUUCGUGUGCAGCUGCAAUCUCUCUCAACCACUUGAAUAUAUUGAAAGGCAUAUCAGCAUAACAACUGAAGAAGCGGAAAGGAAAUGAGCGUGGGGUUUCAUUCUUUUGCUCCUCUGCUUUUAAGACAUCAACAUCCACAUCUUUAGGUUGGUCCGAUGGGAAACGACAAGAAUAGCGAUAUUUCUUUUCUUUACUCUCCCACUCUUUCGAGAGUUGCUAGGUGCUGCUAUCUCAUGUGAUGUCAAGGUGGUUCUUGGCUUGCAAUGUAUUUCUUUUACUGGCAUCUUCCAAAUAGGUCAGCGGUCAUUUCUGUUUCUGUAAUUCUUGAAGAAAUGGUUGCCUGGCAAUUUGUUCAUCGCCCAACAUGUCAUGUCCCAUCAAUUACCAGCAAGAUGCAAGACCUGAGACUAACAACUUUUUUAUGGUUCAAUGCAGUCAGAAACACACAAAGAAUCUGAUCAAGACAUAUGUUACGGCAUUAGAAUAUAAUAACUCCUCAACUAAACUAUUUGUUUAUGAUGCACAGGUGCAGUAUGGCAGCUUGUCUGCCCAACAAACUACCACUCUCUAUGGUGGUUUGCUGGAUUUGCACAUAUAUGUUUCAGGUGAAGUAGGAAUGUGCACAUGUUGAUAAUGGCCCUUGAGUACAUAUGGUCAGCAACACACAUCUUGGAGUGAUCUCAAUGGCAAGAUGUUCUGCAGAACCGAAAGAUUCCAAAGUAUUAUAUAGUUGGGGUUCCUUCAAGAAACACAAAGAAAUUGUGUAUAUGGUCAAGCUGUGGCCAACCUGUUUUGUAAUGUCGGCAACUGAUUUUGUGCCCUCUGUAUCUUCCCAUCAUUAUCUUCAAUUUCCUCUUGCUCGCCCUCACAGGCCACUUUCCUCUUUUGCAAUGCCUUUGAGAUAAGAGACCAUCUGCUAGCUUUGCCUUGCGGCGUCGGCAUGGACAAGAAUUUGAAGAUGGACUGGAGAAGGGAAAUGGUGAUUGCUCUUGCUUCUCUCAGAAUCUCGGUCACCAUCCAUGAGUCCUUGCCGUUGCUACAACAUGAGACAUACUUGUCAUCCAUCUGCUUCAGUAAUUUGAAGAUACUCUUGAUACCCUUCUCUUCCUUCUUGUCAAAACGAAUUCUCUCAUGAUGCCAAGCAAGUCCAGCAGCCUGACAGAUCCGUCCAACUCCACUUCCACACUUUCUUUUUCUUGUAUGUUGGAAUAUUUGCUCAUAGGCAAGUGGAGAAGCUCCUCGAUGCACUCGUACAAACCUCCGAGCGCUCUCAAUCCCUCGCAUAUAGUUUGGGCUGAUAAACAGGAUUGAGCC